GCAGAGAAAUGAAGGUAACCUCCAAGCAUGUCAAUACCUUCCCCCUGAUUGCUAGGAAUAAGACUACCACCAAAGAGAAGCAAAGCAUAAUCUGAUAUAUUUGUUGAGUCUCGAAUAUAAAUGCCACUUGUUUUCACCUUCUCACUAUAAACCAUGUAUGGCAGAGGGAAAAGAUGAACCCCAGCAUUUACAGAUGCAGGAUGUAUGUCAACUUUCCCAACUUCUUUAGUGUAGAAUGCCGUGCGCUUUCCUCUUCUUUUGCACUGCACAACAUUUGGGUAAAGCCCAGCACAAAGGAUUGCUGACACCAUCUCUAAGUCAUGGCUGUAUUGAUUGUAAGCUCCUGCACCCCUUGAUUUGUCAACAAAGCCAAUGUCUGUUAGCAGGUUGAGAAAUUGCUCUCUCAUAUCUUCCAUCAUCUGCAGAGUUAUUGGGGAUAAAAAAUUCUCCCAACAAAAAGCUCUUUCAUUUCGAUUACGUUUUGCCUCCCUAUAUCCUUCAAAAGCUUUAACAAGUGCGAUGUGAUCACUGCAAGAAUCACCAGCAAAGGAUCUUUUAGCAGCAUCAGCCUCAUUUUUCCUAUCUAUUGGAAGAACAAAUGGAUCACGAUGAGCAAGAGCAGCUGCAAUUGUUAAAGCAGGAUUGAGGCAUUGAAAGACAGACCCCAUCAGAAGCAUCUUUCCAAUAUUUGGGUCCAGGGGCAGAGUACAAAGAUGGCGACCAAGUGGAGUAAGCUCCUCAUUAUCAUCUAAAGCCCCGAUGGUUUUAAGCAGUUCAAUAGCAUUUUGAACAGAAAGAGGAUCUGGUGGCUGGAGCGCCUUUGCCAAAAAUGAUCCAACAGCUCCUAGCUGUAAGCUUUUAAUGUGCAGACAUAGCUCUUGCAGAGGUGUUCGGAGAAUUUCAGGCAACUGAUACUGAAGCAUUGCAUCAUGGAUAAUUUUUGGAUACAAUCUAUAACAAACUCCAGGUUGCACACGGCCAGCUCGACCUCGUCUCUGAUGUGCUGAAGCCUUUGAAAUCCAUGAUGGUAAUAGACAAGCUAGCUUGUUUAGAGCAUCAUAACUGGUUUCCUUUGCCUUUCCACAGUCUACAACAUACACAACAUCAUCUAUGGUGAUACUACUCUCUGCAAUAUUGGUUGCAAGAACUAUUUUUCGCUUGUUAGGGGGAGGACGAUCAAAUAUUUCACGUUGGUUGAUGGUAGGCAUUGAACCAUGUAGAGGAAGGACUAAAAACUUGCUUUGGUCUCCCAAAAGUUUGUUUCCUUUAAUCCGAUCAAGUAGCUUGGAAAUCUCAUCCCAGCCUGUAAGAAAUACAAGAAUUGCACCAUCCCCUUCAUGGAGACAAAUAAAUUCAAUAGCUGACUCCACCAGACCCAAGUCAAGCGGUGAACCAGACCAAGCUUCAAGAGAAAGUCGAGUAGAUGCACUGUAAUUCUUGUAUUUAGAAUCAAUAUCAACAUCCUCAAAUAAUUCAGUCAAAGAAUCCUUCUUGGAAUCUUGCUCCCUCCUCCUCCUCCUCCUUGAAUUCCCCUGAAAGUUGCCAGCCUCUGAUUGGAUUUUAUAACGAGAUUUCUCCAAUAUGUCUUCUAGAAAUAACUCAGUCACAGGGAAAGUCAAUCCCGGUAUAUGAAUAGUUGGGGCAUUUCCAAAGUAUUUUGAGAACAAGUUGGCAUUGAUGGUUGCACUCAUUAGAAUAAGACGUAAAUCUGGACGCCGAGGGAGAAGGUCAUGCAAAAUAAUUAACAAAAAGUCCUCAUUCAUGCCCC
rnacentral:misc_RNA from 1 species